CGCUCCAACCGGGUGUGUUCGAAG
rnacentral:siRNA from 1 species